rnacentral:hammerhead_ribozyme from 1 species
AUCAAGCUGACGAAUCCCAAAUAGAACGAAACGCACGUUCUGGAU